GAUUGCGCGGGCGGGAGGGUAACACAUGCAAGUCGAACAAUGACUCUCUAGCUUGCUAUAGAAGAUUAGUGUCGCGCGGGUGAGUAACAUUUAGGAAUCUGCCUAUAGGAGGGGGGUAGCUCUCGGAAACACUCAUUAAUACCGCGUACAACCUACGGGGGAAAGGGGGCGCGCGAUUCGCGUAUUUGAUGAGACUAAAUAUCAUUAUUAUUGGUUGCGUAUAGACCACUAAGCGCCGAUUCUGUAGGUUUGAGAGAGUAUCGGCAACCGGGAAGAGAGCGCUCCUGCUCCUUGGGGGGCAGCGUUUGGAAAAUGGAAAAUGGGGGCACCCUGAUUCAAAGAUGCCCGUUGUUAAAAGAAGCUUUUUGUUUUAAAGAGCCGUAAACGGGGAGUGGAAACUUUUGUAUUUAUAGAUUGAGGAUGAGGCGCUCUUGGAGAUAUGCGCCCGCUAAAUCUGGGACAUAGACUCGGGGUAAUACAGAGUUCGAGGGUUUUUCUGGAUAUCUGGGGGUGUGGGAAGGUACAGGGAGAUUUUGUUUCAUUUCGAAGGCGGGGUUUUUCUUUGACUUCAAAUAAUAUUGGGGGGCUAUAAUAUGUCACAAAGGAUAAGAAUUUUUGUUUUACAGCGAAAAAAGAGUGAGAGCCUCUCCCGCCUACCUCGGGGGGCAGGGAGGAUUUCUUUGGGUUAUAUGUGGUGCCUGCUAUUUUGAGAAGAUGGGUGAGGAAAAAAAUUAUUAGCUCUCCCUGCGUUUUCCAAACGCCUAAGAUAAAUAGAGGGUAUCUCGCCCUGUGCACCCCAUGUUCAAGAGACAGGGGCCCUACGGGGAACUCUCUUUUGCCACCUGAAGGGGGGAGAAAUAAGGUGGGGUCUCGAUAUAUUUUGGGUCAAGACGCCAGUUUUCUUUAUUUUUUCUUGGUGUUGUGAAUGCAGCCGCCCCAGAAAGAUUAUUUUGUAUUCUUUCUCAUUAGUU
rnacentral:rRNA from 1 species